AGCGAACGCUGGCGGCGUGCUUAACACAUGCAAGUCGAGGGAGAACGGAGGGCUUCGGCCUUCUUAGUAAACCGGCGCACGGGUGAGUAACACGUAGGUAACCUACCUCCGAGAUCGGGAUAACCUGUCGAAAGAUAGGCUAAUACCGGAUAAGACCACGAUGGCUUCGGCCACUGCGGUCAAAGAUGGCCUCUAUUCAUACGCUAUCGCUUGGGGAUGGGCCUGCGCACCAUUAGCUAGUUGGUGAGGUAACGGCUCACCAAGGCUACGAUGGUUAGUUGGUCUGAGAGGAUGACCAGCCACACUGGGACUGAGACACGGCCCAGACUCCUACGGGAGGCAGCAGUGGGGAAUAUUGCGCAAUGGGGAAACCCUGACGCAGCGACGCCGC
rnacentral:rRNA from 1 species